CGACGUGUAAUUGAGUUUGUAAAUGAACUUUGCUCGAUCCUCAAGCUUGCUGCCAACUUCACUGCCAAUUUCCAAAAUUUGAUAGAAAAUAAAAAUCAAUAGAAAAAUUAGUGUAGACUUUAGAGAGAUAGAGAGGUUAGAGAGAUGGCAAGAAGAUUUGUGAGAAGAAGAAAAGGAGCAAAAGAGUUGAAGACAUGGAUUACACCACUACUAUGACUGAGACUGGCCAGUUUAUCUGCCGGCUUACUUCUCUAAAACAAUUGUUGAUUUCAAAUCCAUGCUCUUCAACUAUUUCUUGGACCUCAGUAUUGAUGUUGAUGAUUUUCUAAGACCAGAAGAAUCUAGAAAUAUAUUUUUCAAUAAUUUCAAGGGUUCCUUUGGGAGGAUUUAUAGCAGCCAGAAGGUGAAUUCGAAGAGCAAGUAAGAUAUAUCUGAUCAUGAUGGCUCUUCCUUCUGUUGAGAGGUAUUUUGUAUGCCAUCCUCUUAUCUUGUUGAUGAUUCUAAUGAUAAUAUCAGAGUAA